rnacentral:rRNA from 1 species
AGUGAACGCUGGCGGUAUGCCUAAUACAUGCAAGUCGAACGGCAGCACAGUAAGAUCGUGCUCUUACGGGUGGCGAGUGGCGGACGGGUGAGGAAUACAUCGGAAUCUACUUUUUCGUGGGGGAUAACGGAGGGAAACUUACGCUAAUACCGCAUACGACCUACGGGUGAAAGCAGUGGAUCUUCGGACCUUGCGCGACUGAAUGAGCCGAUGUCGGAUUAGCUAGUUGGCGGGGUAAAGGCCCACCAAGGCGACGAUCCGUAGCUGGUCUGAGAGGAUGAUCAGCCACACUGGAACUGAGACACGGUCCAGACUCCUACGGGAGGCAGCAGUGGGGAAUAUUGGACAAUGGGCGCAAGCCUGAUCCAGCCAUACCGCGUGGGUGAAGAAGGCCUUCGGGUUGUAAAGCCCUUUUGUUGGGAAAGAAAAGCAGCAGGUUAAUACCCCGCUGUUCUGACGGUACCCAAAGAAUAAGCACCGGCUAACUUCGUG